GCUAUUCCGAUCUGGCCAUCAAGGCCCUUGUGAAGCCUCAGGUCACCAAGCCCAAGAUGCCAAAGGGCCCCAGCUGCAAACUCAGCCGCCUGGCUUUCAUCGCUCACCCCAAGCUUGGGAAGCAGAUUCGAAGCAACA